GGCUAGGACAAUGAGGACGUUGUGAAGUGGGUCAGAUCUGGAAGGAAGCAGCCCUAAGCGAUGUUCCUCAUGUGUUCGAUUAUAU
rnacentral:SRP_RNA from 1 species